CGUCACUUCCGGCGGAAAAGGACGCGGGAGUUUUGAUUGGAAACUUGAUUCGUCGCCGGGUCCCAGCGGUCGGCACCGCGGAGCGUCGCCCGGACGAGUCUCGGUCGUGUGCCUCAGUCCUCCACUUGUGGGCCACUUGGAACACCGUGACUUCUCCAUAGCUCCAGUCUCCAGCCUCCCAGCUGGCUCUUACUUCGUGUUACUUUCCAAUCCAGUCUCCACAUUGCCAGGCUAUCUGGUAAGUCGCAGAUCUGGCCAGAGCACUCCCGGUUUAAAAUCUUUACUUGCCUCCUAUUUGCCCUCAAGGCCAUAGUGAGGACACAUGAAUAGAGGAAGAAAGUUUCUUCUGGCCUCAGUUCUUGCUCUCCAGAAUUCCAAUUUUAUAUAUCCUUCAUGUCAGAAGUGCUUCUCUCGGAUAAUCCUGGUCUCCAAAAGGUCUCGUUGUCCAAAAUGUGGCUUUACUGGCAAAGCUGAAAAUGUCAGUUACAGAUACAAACUUUCCUUAAAAAUUGCAGACUCAAACAACUUGUUUGUCAUUACUGUAUUUGGAAGCUGCUUAGAUGCAUUUUUUGGUCUUACAGCCAAUGGUUUGCACAGGUACAUUCAAGAUCCUAAUGAGAUUUCAGAAACACUGGACCAUGAUGCAAUUCAUAAUCUGUUAACUAAAGCAGUUGAAAUUCGCUUUGUUGGACAAAGUUUUAUUUUUGGAGUGACGAAUUUUGGAAACCAACACGGACAAGGUUCAGAUUCCAAUAACUCCUUAAAGCAAUGCUCUGACCGCAAGAGAGAAGUUAAAGCAUUAGUAGCAUGCCAGAUUGUUCUACCAGACCCGGGUGUUGCAGGCUUGACUGUCAUUGACUACUUCCAUCAGCUUUUGCAACUCUCUGAUUCCAGGAAACUUGAUGGCAGCUCCCAGGCAUCAAAUAGCCACUUACUUGCUUUAGAACAGACAAAUAGUGAUCUCAGCAGCAUAUGUGGCCCUGAAAUUUUCAAGUCCCAUGGAAGAGAUAAUUUUUCAAGAUUCUGGCAGGCAUCACUUGAACUCACUUCCACUCUUUCACACCUAACAAAUGAUUUUUCAGCUUUAGAACAAAGCAAGGCCAUUGAUACUCUUCACCAGAACAGAAAGCACAUCUCUUUUGCAGAGGCCACUGGUUCUAAUAGGUGUCAUGAUGCCUUUCAGGGUUCUUGGAGCCUUAUUUCAUACAUGGAUAAAAAGAGCACAGCACAGAAGUUGAGUGAAGAAGUUGGCUUACAAGCUUAUCAGCCCAGUGCAGUCACUAGCAGUCAUGAAAUCAGAGUUACUGACUCUGAUUUUUCCCCUUUGAAAAUGCAAGAGCCCCUGGAGUCAAGUAAUAAAAAAUCCUUCCAUAGUGCUGUGGAAAUUAAUAAGUAUUCCCCACAUGAGCUAACAUAUCACCAGUAUCAUGAUUUAGAUAAGCCCUUUAGCCUUCAGAAGAGAUCUACAUGUUGUCCACCUUCAUCACUCAGACUUGAAGAGAUAGUUAGUGGUUCCCAGGACUGUGACCCUGAGAUUUGGGAUGAUCUGCCAUUCUCUGAAAGCCUGAAUGAGUUUCUGGCAUUUGUCAAAAGUGAAAUUGCUAUAACCCAGAGAGAUGCCAGUAGUAGAAAAUGUCAUCUAGAUAAUGACAUCGAUAGAUUACAUGCAGACCACAGCAAGUUAUCUGUGACUUCCCAGAGAACUACUGGAGACUUACAUACACCACCUAUAGCUUUAAGAUUAUCUCAAGCAACAAUCAAAGCAAGCUAUAGCAAAGUCCUUUCCAACUGUGAAGAAAAUCCAAGUCCUACUGUUCAGAAGGAGUCACAGUCAAAUGACACAGCGGAGGCUGUUUCUAUAAGUAGUAAUGGAAGUGAUAUUUCCGAAUAUUUGCCACCAAAUGCUUAUCUGUCAGCUCUGUUUCCAUCUUCAAAAGGUUCAGGAACAAUAGGUACUCUUAAAUCUACCAGAAUUCCAUCACAUAAAGCUGAAACUAUACUUAGGCACAGUACCUCAGAGAGUGACCAUUCUUGUCUCAAUAGCAAAUAUUUCAAAAGAUGUGGAGUAAAAUCACUUUCAGAAAUGAGUGAAAAGUUGGUAACUUUGUGUUCAAGGAGAUAUAAUAAUGUUUCUGACCUUUGCAAUUUAGAAAAUAAACAACAUUGUAGGUGGCCAAAGAACCAAGGUGACAGUUUUACAAUCUGCAGAAAACUUACAUAUCCUUUAGAAACUCUUUGCAGUAGUCCAAAUAGAAGUACAAAUACACUGAAAGAAAUGCCUUGUGGAGGUAUCAAUAACUCAACACAGAACUAUUCUGAUCAUGAAGGUAGCUAUGAUGCUUCUGCCGAUCUCUUUGAUGAUAGUGCUAAAGAAAUGGACAUUACGACAGAAAUUGCCAAAAAGUCACAGAACAUUUUGCUACAGUGGGGAAAAUCUUUGGCAGAAAGUCAUCGUACAGAAUCAAAUUUCUCACUGAGAUCACUUCCUAAGAAUUCCAACCAGUCUUCACAGAAGUUGUCUUCACAAAGCAUAUCUGCCUCUGCGUGCCCAAGAAUCUGCUCUUCUCCACCUCGUUUUCAGUCAGAUUCAGAAUAUGAUUUUGGAGAUAGCCAAGACUUUGUUCCAUGUUCACAGUCAACUCCAGUUGCAGGAUUCCACCAAACAAGAAUUCAUGAGAUGAAAGGAACUUUGAAAAACUUACUUGCCUUUUAUACGGAUCUUGAUGCUAGCUAUAAAAAAAGGCAGAUUUCCUCUGAAAAUGAUGCUCAGCAAGCCACCCCAAGCUGUCCAAACAACGUAAAGACACCCAGCCAGAAAUUCAGAAGCCCUGUUAAAUCUGGUAUUAUACAACCAGAGGUUUUCAACAAUAGUCUUAUUGCUGAGUGUUCUGAAAGUGAUAAUGAAUGGAUCCCUCCUACCACAAAAAAAGUAUUUCCUUCAGAAAUUCUUGGAUUCCAAGUGAUGGGUCUAAGGAAAUGCUCUGCUGCCUGUGAUUCUCCUGAUGAAGAAGAGUUACCAAGAAAGAAACUGAAAUGCGUCAAACGAAUAAUGAAUUCAGGUUGGCUUUCCAAAGACUCAGGUUUGGGAGUUGGAUCUUGUUCAGAAGUCCAGUGUUGCUUUCCAUUUUCAGAAAAUUGGCCACCUUCCAUGCCUGAGACAAAAAGCAGUUGGUCUCCUGAAUUAUUUUCAUAAAAAGUCACCUGAACCCAACUGCUAAGCUUGUAAAGCUCAGAAAAUGCCUGCUAUGUAUUAGGGCCAACUACCAUGCUGAGUUUGUGAUACAAAGCUACGAGAUCAGUAGUCUCAUGGAGAUUCAAUUAACCCAGCAACAUCUAUGGGCUGAGGAUAAGAAAGGCCAAGUUCUGGCCAGAGAGCUAUAAAUAGAAGUGUUGCAUGGAACUUCCAAGAAGUCUCUAUGGAUUGAAGAGAUCAAGCCCUUCUACCUUCCUUCCCAUUCCUGGGAGAGCGACAUGAUGGGUAGGGCUAUAGCACCCAUCUUAAACAACACGUUCAUCUUGAAAUUAGAGGCAAGAGUUGAGAGAUACCCCACUGACAACACAAUGAGAGCACAGUAUUAGUCCCGGGCUGCCAACCUCUAGAUUUCUUUCACAUGAGAAAAAGAAACCCUGUCUUGUUUUUUCUUUUUUUUUUUUUUUCAAUUAUAUAUAGCCAAGUAAUCCUAACCAAUAUACCACAUGUAUCAGUAUUCCAUCUACAUUUUGCCUUUCACAAUUUUCCAAAGCUACCCAAUUCUCUUCUCCAUGACCUGUGAAUUAGUAAAAAUGCUAUCUGUAGCUCUAGGUUGUUAGCAUUAACUCAUUUUGUGAAAGCCCCAAAUGGAGAGAGCUAAUAUUUGUAUGCCUCCUCUGUGUUAUGUACUCCUAUAUAUUAUCUCACAUUCUCCCUGUCUCACUCCUACACCUAGGUGCCCAGAGACCCUGCAUUCCCUCCUGCUCAUUUAUAUGAAGUGUCUUUGAAUAACUCAAAGUCAAUUCUUCCCCUUGUGUACUCAGCGACACCAAUCCAGAUUCUGUCUUCCUCUCCUGUGUCAAGUCACUCACUCUAUCAAAUAAAUAAAAUCUUUUUAAAAAAUAAAAACAUUUGGCCUCGUUCUUUGACACCCCUUAUCAGCAAAAACUGCCUAAAAGUUUAUCCCAUAGUCCUUUUCCUCUCUUCUGUUUCUCCUGAACUCAUUCAGUGAUUCUUUCAGCAGCAUUUGACACAGUUGAUCACAUCUCCUUGGAAUAUUUUCUUCACUAGGCUUUCAGAACACUGCUCUUCAUUUUCCUAUUUUACUGGUCAUACGUUCAGUCUCCUUUUUAUUGUUUUUUAAGAUUUUUUAUUUAUUUAUUCAUGAGAGACACAGAGAGAGGCAGAGACACAGGCAGAGGGAGAAGCAGGCUCCAUGCAGGGAAACCAAUGUGGGACUCCACCCUGGGUCCCCAGGAUCACGCCGUGGGCUGAAGGUGGCGCUAAACUGCUGAGCCACCAAGGCUGCCCCAUUCAGUCUCCUUUGCUGGUUCUUUUCCUGUCGCUAACUAAAUGUUGGAGUGCCCCAGGGUCCAUUCCUCAGAACUCUCCAUUUAUACUAACUUCUUUAAUGAUGUCAAUCUAAGACUUUCCAUACUUAUUGACUCCUAAAUUUCUAUUUCCAGCCUGAUCUCUCCCCAGAUCUCAAGCACAUAUAUACAGCUACCAACUCAGUAUCUCUUAUUUGGAUAUCUAAUAGACAUUCCAAACUCAACACAUCCUAAACCAAAUUCCUGGUUCACCAUACCCACUCAAAUUCCUCCUUUUGCAGUGUUUCUCAUGUGAGCAAAUGUCAAUGAAACAUUACUAGUUGCUUAAGCCAAAAACUUUACAGUCAUGCUUGAUUCUUAUUUUUUCACACUUAAAACCAUGAGCAAGGGGAUCCCUGGGUAGCUCAGAGGUUUAGCAACUGCCUUUGGCCCAAGGCAUGAUCCUGGAGUCCCAGGAUUGAG